AAAUAAGUCAGGGAUUUUAUUAAAUAUUAAUUCUAUUAAUUCACAGCAAAAAACUUUGUUUAUUAUUGUAUAUUAAAAAUAUAUUUUCUUUAUUCUAAAUCAUUUCUCCACAGACACAGUACAACUUGUCAAUGCCUGUAAAGAUCUUUUAGCUUGCUAGAAAUGCCUCAAGCACAAAGAGCAGUAAAAUAUUUUUUACACCAUAGACUUAGAUCUCACCACAUUUAACAAAAUAUAUUAAAAUAAUGAUUUACAAUGUGCUUAAAAGAGAAUGGUAAAGAACACAUUUACUUUUAACCAGCAAUAAUUGUCAAUGUACCAUUGAAAGACAUCAAAAGACAUUAAAAACCUUGUGCAAUUAAAUUUGGUAGAUUCUGUGAACUGUUUUAAGAGCACAUUACCUGUGCCCAGUGUUCACAAAUCAGUACGUGAAGCAGAAGGAUGCUAGAAGUACACUUCUGCAUACACACAAAAAUAAAACUCUCUUAUUCCAGGGUUCCUAUAGGAAUUACAAAAAUAAUUGCAUUAUCAGUAUACAAGUUGUGUACAUUAGAGUUGCAGACAUAACAAUGACCACUCUCAUGGUUUUCUGAGUCCCUUAUACACUUUCUGGGUGAGGCACAGGGUUUUGGCUCCUCUUCUGGGCUAUGGGUUACCUCAGCCCAAAGAACUAUCAUCAGCUGCACUGCAAAAUCACAAUAAGUCUUAGACUGUAACUGUUUGUUUCUUUCUCUUCUAGAUGUCUCCAGAAAUCAAUAAAAAACAUAAGCUUUCUACUUUAGGGACAUUCAUCUCUAGCUAUAUAUUUCUAUUAAACCUAAUCUCCAUACGUGCAACAUCAAACAUCUAAACAGAUCCAGUGUAUUCAAUGGGUUACCAUCCUCAUGGGAUAGACCUUCUGCUAUCCUUAUUAAAAGCUCAUAUUUUUGGUACCUCCUGCCUAUGUUGUGAUAGCAAAAGGCUUGAAUGCCUCUUACAUCUAAUUCCAUAUAUAAUUUCAUAGUAAUUCCCCUUUUAAAGAUUGUCUUGCAAAAGAGAUCAAAGCAUCAUGCAGAGAGGUAUUUGCAUUUCAUCUAUGUGUAUACAAUAGAAGGAUUUUUUAAAAAUGUAAAAAAGGCAGCAUUUUAAUUUCUGAUUUUACAGAAACUAAAAUGGUGAUUAAUACAUACCAUUAGAACUAAGGAAGAGUUUCCUAUCAUCAUUAAUAACUGCCUUCCUUCUCUGUGGACACACAUUCACUUGGGGCAAUAUGAGUACACACACAGAGAACCAGAAACUCCCUUCCCACUGUCAUCUAAGUUUCACAAAAGUUCUUAUCCAAAGGUCAGCUGCCAAUCAGUAUAUACAUAUAUACACACAUGGGUCCUUGGUGGGAAUAAAUUCCAAGUUAGCUGGCUACAAGAGCAUAUAGGUACUUGAGGUAAAGAAGAAUAAAUCUUUCUUAUUUGUUCUUUUGUCCUUCCUGGAUGAUGGGAUGCUUAUAUGUCCUGAGUUCCAGUAUGUUUCAACAGUAAAUUGUGACAUAUAAAAGACAGAGAUAAAUUUUAAUUAGAAUAUCUAGAAAAUAUUAGAAUGCCUCUGCAUAGCAGCCACCAACCUCUAUUACAUCUUGACUGUCAGGUCUUACAGGUCUUAAAAUCAACUAAAGCAGUAAAGGAAGAGGCUUUGCAGGGUAAUUUCAAAGUUCUGAAUCUGUCUUACUUGGAAAUCACCAGCAACUUCUUUAUCUUUAUGAAAUCAUCUCUAGAAGGUUGUGUUUAGUUGAGACAACAAUUAUACAAGCUUCUGCUGCUGCUCCUUGUCCCUACAGAGAGAACACAAUACAGUAACUGCUUCAUGGCCUUCACUUAUUAAGCUGGAACUAAAAUGAAUGGAGAAGCUGUACAAUCUUCAGAAGAGUGGAAAGGCUGAGUGACAUCUAUGAACAUUCCAAAAGCUGAAGAAACAAGUACAUAUUUGGGAUCUGAGGCCAUUGUUUAGGACAAUUUACCUUAAAAACGUUGAUUUUCUGUCUUAGGAAGUUACAAAAUUAUUGAUAAUUUCACAAAUAAUUUCUAAUUAAAAAUCAGAAGCUGUUCCCCUUUCUCAGUGAAUCUACAAUGUUGUGAAGGCUUUUUCCAGCAGUGUUAUAGUAUACCCAGAUUUUUCCAGGCAGAUGUUUGAAAAAAACCAAGAAGGUGGAGAUUCAGUACUCUUACAAAAUCAGAGAGCACUGGUUUCGGAGCACUUGUAGAGAGUAACAUUUUCUCUUGGAACAAGAAAUGAGAAGCAUUCAAAAAAAUUUUAGAAAAAUUAAAGUGUGUCAAUACCUUGGCUCUUAUACCCUUAUUACUCUCUCAAUGAUUUAUGCAGGUGACAGCUUAUAAUAGUAAGAAGACAUAUAUUCCCUUGAAAAAAAUGAAAAGUACAAGAAAUGGUUUGUGUUGUUUUUGAAUGGCCUGGUUAUUGAUAGCGGGGGUGCCGCAGAGGUUGUUUCUGUGAGAAGCUGUUGGAAGCUUCCACCAUGUCCAGUAGAGUCAAUCCCUGAUGGCUCUGAAGAUGGACAUGCUGCUGGCCAAGGCUGGGCCAGUUAGAGAUCAUGGGACAACACACUUAAGAAGAAAAUCAAAACAAAGACAAAGUUUUGUUUCUAGUCAGAGAAGAGGAGGAGGUGAGAACAUGUGAGGGAAACAUGGAGACAUCAAGGUCAGUGGAGGAGGGACAGGAGGUGGAGAUUCCUCUGCAGGCCGUGGUGAGACCAUGGUGAAGCAGCUGUGCCCCUGCAGCCCGUGGGGAUCCAUGGGGGAUGCAGAGAUCCACCCACAGCCCAUGGGGAUCCACGGGGGAUGCAGAGAUCCACCCACAGCCCGUGGGGAAGGGGCCCAUGCUGGAGCAGGUGGAUGCCUGGAGGAGCCUGUGAUCCAGUGGGAGACACAGUGGAGAGAGGGGCCCUGCUUCCAGGCUGGAGCAGCUGUGCUCGGAGGGCUGCACCCCAUGGAAGAGUGGCUCACGCCGAAGCAGUUUUGGGGGGACUGUCUGCCCAUGGGAGGGACUCACGUGCCAGCAGUAUUGUCAGGACUGCUGUUUGUGAGAGUGGACCCAAGCUGGAGAAGUUCCCAGAGAACUGUCUCCUGUGGGAGGGACCCCGUGGCCUUACAGGGGAAGGACUCCACUCCUGGAGCAGCAGAAGAAAACCUCAGGUGAUAAACUGACCUAACCCCUGUCUCCUGCACUGGAAGUAGAAAGGAGGGAGGGGCUGGAGGAAGAUAAAGUGUUUUUAAGGGCCUCUCUUACUUCUCAUUUUCUUCCUCUGAGUCUGUUAGUAAUAAACAGUUGACCCUGUUUUGCCCUUUAGGCGUUUCCUCCCAGUCCUUAUCUAAAACCAUGAACACUUUGUUAGUAUUUUUUCUCUCCUCUGCCCAUCUGUGGCAGGGCAGGGUGAGCAAGCAACAUUCAUGGGCGCCUGGCGUUAGGCCAGUGUCAAACUAUGACAUGGUUUCACUUGGUACACUGGCUAUUCCUGCCCUAAAGAACGUUUUCUGUGCAAAUUUCUCCUGCUGCACAAUCUUAAAAGAAAAACCAAAAUAAUACGAUCAUAUACACACAGUACAGUACAAUACAAUAAUACCAUCAAUAAAAUCUUACAUUUCAAGAGUCAUAAAUUACCCAAUUAAUAAUUUUUCAGCUAUACUGACAUGUCAUAAAGAAAGGUUGAUGCUUCUCUCACUUGAUUACAUUUGAAACACCUAUACCAUAGACAUGGAACAGAAAUAUUCAAUGAGAAUAGAAUCAGAAUCAGAAACUUUAUUAAUAUGGGUUUAAAAAUCUGUCAUUUUUUGCACUACUAGACACUUCUAUUCAGGGCAUAUAAAAGCAUACAUUUUUACAAGCAAAACUAUCUGAAAAAUUCUUCUUUCUUGAGGAAGAUAAAUAGCUGAUAGCUUUUUAAAUUUAUUACUGAUUUUAGUAUACAGAUUUUUAUUAAAUUAACAUAAUAUAAAAUUACUUGAAUCACAGUAUAACUUAAUGAAAAUCCUUUUUUUGUGCAUGAUGAUAUUCAAAAGCAACUGAUUAUGUAUUGGCAGCAGAUUCAUAUACUUCAGCCUCUGAUAUCAUAUUACUAAUUUUAAUAACCAGCAAUGGUUCUAACCCAUGUAAUGAAUUGCUUAGUAGUAGAUAUAACAAAGUUUAAUCCAUGUUGCAACUACUUGAAAAAUAAACCCAACAGUACUAUAAUUUGAUAUGACAGUCAGGACUGCGAGUGUAAGAUCAUUAACACUUCACAGGUUAUACCCUGAAGUAAAUCUUACAAGAAGUUCACAUAAAUAAGGACAGAUUUACACAAUUAUGUAGUUAUGAAUAUCGCUGCAUUUCUAACCAUAAGUGAAUUCUUCUCAAUUUGCUGUUCAUUUGACUUUGAUAUGCAUAAAAACCGCAAUCCAACAAAAAACAAGUCAACCCAUUUUUUCUUUUUUCUUAUUUGGUUUCAGGACAUUUAUAUAUCAGGUAGAGGUGUAUGAACCCAGACAGUUUCAUCUUAGAGAAUUUUUGCUUGUGAAUGAAUUCAGAAAAGUUUCAUUUGUUCCACUUAGGUUUGCAUUUUUGCCUGUUGUUUUACUGGAAUGCUACAAAAGACUUACAAGGAGUUAAAGAAAAGUAAAAUGUGGCAAACAUAAGACCCUCUCUGGAAAAAAAAAAAGAAAAAGAAAAAGAAGAAACUGCUGAGAAUAAUAAUUUAAAAAAUUAGAUAACCCCUAUGGUGGUAACAUCAAUAUUUUUGAAUGUCUUUUAAAAUAAAAAAUGCAAAGACAAGGGAACUCUCUAUUUUGUCAAAGAGCUUUUCAUUGAUAUUUGAAACUGAACAACUAAAAAAUGUUACACUAGCACACCAUACUGAUCUUGUAAUUUACAUUAUCUUGUAAAAUUCCUCACCUCUGUGGAGCCACUGAUGACAUUGUUUGGGUUUUAUCUGAUAGGGAGAGAAGGGAAUUGGAAAGGUAUUAUUUCAGGAUAUUAUAAAUAACCCUACAUUAAACACAUAGCCUUGAAAGAUGGAGGGGGUGGAGGUUAAAUUUGCAGUGAUAAUGACUUUGUCACACUCAGACUUUGGGAACUAGUAGAUUUCAUCUCAUUUUUUUUUUGAAAUACACACACACACACACACACACACACACACACACACACACAAAUAGUAUUUUAUGCAACUGUUUUAACAUUUGUGGUUAUCACCAUUCUGAACUAUUUGACCUCACCAUUUUUUAACACAGCUCUUUCUUAUGAAACAUAAGAGGAACUGAUUGCUCAGAACUGUUAUAUGUGAAACUGUGAAAGACUGUAUUUUUAUUAAUCAGAAUUGAAACAUUUAUUUUUUGCACUCUGCUUUCAGAGAACUCACAUUUAGAACAGCUUGGUACAGUACACAAAACCAUUUCAUUAUUGCUUUCAACAUUUUGGAGCCUUUUGUUUUACAGACAAACUUCGUGUUACUUCACUGCACAAUAUACUGAAGGCUAGUAAUUAUUGGGACAUGUGGUAGGCGUUUAUCACCACUAAAAUCACACAACCCACUCUAUGAUCAAGAUAAAAUAGGGCAAGUGGUUCAAUUAAAGGCACAUUCUUUGGUGCACAACAAUAGAAGGCUUGUGACAUGGCAAGAUUUAGAAAAGACUCAAAUAUCUUUAAAACUACUUAUUAUCACCAGUUAAAACGUGCAUGUCUGACCUUUAUGGUAAUCAGUAAUACUCCAUUUGCACACUAUAGAACUAAAUAAGCUUUCUUUUAGACACAAAGAGUUACUUGUGCUGGCCUGCAGUUAACUUAGCUGAUCUCAGAGCUUAUGCUUGCAAUGAAUCAAUGGCUAUAAUGAUAGGCCAUCAUCUUUAUCAACCCAUUUAUGAUGACAGGAAGAAAACAGGACUGUAGAUUUUCCUGACAAAGUGGAGUAGUAUUUAAAUGUUGACUGCUACAUACAUCAGAUUAACAAGGUUGCAAAGUUACUGAGAAUCCCAUUCCCUGAGGUACAGAUUCACCCUGUGGUGCUAUUAUACCAUAAGGUAUAUCAAAGAUAAUUGCUUAGUUUAUUAUCCUGUUGUCUUUUAUGUCAACCCUUAAUUGUGAAUUCAGAAGCCUCUUGAUCUCCCUGUUCCUUAUGGACCUGUUAUUAACCCCAAUCAUUUUCAUUAGGAUUUUAUUACUAUUUUUAUUAUUAAAGUGCAAAUUUAAAAAAAAUGAUGUUUCCAAAUAAUCCACAACUCCUUCAUAUUGCUUCAGUAAAAGAGAAAUUUAUGAGAUAUUCAGUCAGCAUUGUAAAUACCCAUCUCUCAAGCUCUUUUCCUUCCUCUGAAAAGAUUUUGCAUAUCAAAGUUCAGAUUUUUUUUACUCAGUUACUUCAAUAUUCAAUUAAAUAGCUUGUAAACAUACAAAGAUUUCUGUGGUAAAAUCAGAUUAUUAAAGUUCUAUAUGACUUCAUAGAAUUAUCACAACAGGAAAGUGCAAAGGUGGCAAUGUCACUGCUGCUAUCUUUCCCCAUGGUCCUGAAGUAUGGUGGUCAAGCUUUCAUAUUUCUUGUGCUGCACUUCCAGAGAACAAUUUAAGAAAUAUUCCCAUAAAAUACCACAUGAAACCUACAGAACCUAGAAACAGUUAAAAAACUAUGGCCUGGCUAGUACAGAUAAGUAGUCAUUCAUAAUUCCUCCUAAUGUAUACAAUAUUAAUCUGUAUGUACCUAGAAAAUCUGACUACUUCCUAUACUUCAAAGUCAUUGCCUUUGCUACGAGGCCUAGAAAGUGCUUCAGGAUUCAUUAUGACAUGUGGAAUAUAUAAGCAAUAAGGCAUGACAGGGAGUGUGGUUAUCAUAAGAUAAUCACACCCCUGGUUACCUUAUUGCUUUUAUAAAAAGUCUUUGUUGGGAAGAAAAACUGUAUUUUUUACUUAAAGAUGAUAAAGUUGACAGUUUACAGUCUUGAGCAGUACUUUCUGCUAAGCUCAAUGGUUUAUAUGUAUUCAUCUACUCCUUUUUAAUGUGCAUCUGCCAAAACUGAUCCGAAGUCAUCAAUCAAAAGGAGUUUUCAUAAUUUAGUAUGUGUUCAACUGAUCCAGUUGGAAAAGAGCAACUGCAUGUCCCAGACAAUCUCAACAAUUUCAUAGUCAUUGACUAUUCUCUGGACACCAAUUUCUUUUCUCAGAAAUUAAAAAAAAAAGACAAUAAAGUGGCUUAACUAACAGUUAAUUGAUGUUGUAAACAUAUACAUUACAAGUAAGAGAGUUCAGCAACUGGAAUCCUUGGAUCUGUAAAUCAAGAAAAAGUUUCUAUCUGCCCCUGGUAGAUGUUAUCCCACAAAUUAAGGGUGACAACUUAAUUUAGGGUCCUAGAUAAACUACAAAAUCCCACUGCUGUCAUUCAGAUUUUAGCCUAAGGGGUCUAAUGUGAUCUUUUGGAUUUACAAACACCUGCCUUGGAUUAUGCCAUAUGUCUUCUGAGUGGCUCCAGGGGUGUAUGCUCUGUCCAGUACUCUGCUCAUUUCGUGGUUUAAGAAUGCAUAGGUGAACACAGAAAUAUGAAGGUUUGCAUCCAUUUACAAUUUAUCAAGUGUGAUGGCCAUGUUCUGAUUUUGGAGGCAUUUAGUGGUCUGGAAAGGGACAUAUGUAUGGGCUGAAUUUGUCCCUGGGCCAUUUAUGAAUAUAGGUAACACUUUUCACCUAACAUGAACAAGUCACAAAUUCAAUUGUUUAAUUUAAAUAAGUCAUUAUCACCACAUAUUCCAGAUUUAAGAGGCAGGGUUAGGAAUACUGUCAGUAUCCUGGAUGAAAAGGAAAAAUUCCACUAGCCUUCUAUCUUCCAAUAUUUGGUUUGACACAGUGCUCUCACUACAUAAAGAUGCAUAAAAUUUUGCUUCUUCCAACAAUUGUUUGAACUCUACCAUUUUGCCUUUACAUUUUAAUCAUACAGUGGUACUAUAUUUUCUUUUUUUUUCUCUGAAAUGUUGCUAGCUUGUAUUUCAACUAGAAAUUUGUUUCUUAAUGCAGAAUGGUAUGUUAAAAGUAUUAUAUAUAAAAUAUUUUAUAUAAAUAUAUGUAUGUACAUAUAUUAGGGUUACUCCCAAAAAAGGAAAACUAAAUUAAAUAUGCAUUUCUGAUCUAUUUCUUUAGAGGUCUAUAGACUGAUAACAAAAAAAUAAUAUAGUCUAUCAAAAAACAAUGAUACUAAUUACAAGUUAAUUUAAAGGACAUAACAGAAAGCAGUUAAACAAGUGUGGAUGCAACAAGAUAAUCUUAAACUAGUAAUUUUUGGCCAGUUUUAGAAUUUUUUUGACUAAACUUUAUAAAUAAUAAAUUUGAAGUGAUUUCACAAAUAACUUUGGAAGCAGGAUGGGUUAAAGUGAGAAUUGUGCCUACUCACUUCAUUACAAUUAAAUGGAAAGAGUAAAAUGUUAAAAAGGAGUAAAGAGAAUAAACUCUUUACUCUCAGUAAAAGAUAAGUAAACUUUAGCUGCUUUGUCCUUAUAGCUGUUAUUUUUAAAAUUGCUGCUAGUAAAAUUACUGUCUAAUGGUUCCUAAAAGCAUUCCUAGUAUUUUCAAGAGGUACCAACAUAUAGGUACUGACCUCUGUUAGCACAUUUGUGUUCAAAAAAGAAAAUUUUGCUCCCAAACACUUAUUCCACAUUUUAGAUUAAUUCUUCACUAAUUAAAUGGGAACCUGAAUGUGCCAGGGAUACCAACCUGAAUCAGACUAAUUUGGAGCAAUGCUGUUUAGGAGUUUUGACUGUAUUUCAAGCUAUAGAAAAGGUUAUGCAUGCUGAGUCAAUCUUAAUUGUGCUGGUGUCUAAUUUGAGUUUUACUUGUGGAUAUAAG
ensembl:lncRNA